UACGGAGGGGGCAAGCGUUACUCGGAAUUAUUGGGCGUAAAGGGCGCGUAGGCGGUCGUGCGCGUCGGAGGUGAAAUCCCCGGGCUUAACCCGGGAGCUGCCUCCGAUACGGCACGGCUUGAGUCCGGGAGAGGGGAGCAGAAUUCCCAGUGUAGCGGUGAAAUGCGUAGAUAUUGGGAGGAGUACCGGUGGCGAAGGCGGUUCUCUGGGCCUUACCUGACGCUGAGGAGCGAAAGCGUGGGGAGCGAACAGG
rnacentral:rRNA from 1 species